rnacentral:SRP_RNA from 1 species
GCUGGGUGUGGUGGUGCAUACCUGUAGUCCCAGCUAUUCAGGAGGCUGAGGCAGGAGGAUUGCCUGAGCCCAGGAGGUCAAGGCGGCAGUCAGCCAUGAUCAUGCCACUGCACUUUAGCCUGGGCAACACAGCAAGACCUUGUCUCAA